UGCCUAACACAUGCAAGUCGAACGGGCUUGUUUUUUGUAGCAAUACUGAGAGCAAGCUAGUGGCGAACGGGUGAGUAACACGUAGGUAAUCUACCCUUCAGACGGGAACAACCCAGGGAAACUUGGGCUAAUGCCUGAUAAGACCACGGGGCGGGAGCUCUGGGGUCAAAGGCUGGGCGAAAGUCUGGCGCUGGGGGAAGAGCCUGCGGCCUAUCAGCUAGUUGGUGGGGUAAAGGCCUACCAAGGCGAAGACGGGUAGCCGGCCUGAGAGGGUGAUCGGCCACACUGGGACUGAGACACGGCCCAGACUCCUACGGGAGGCAGCAGUGAGGAAUUUUCCGCAAUGGGCGCAAGCCUGACGGAGCGACGCCGCGUGAGGGAUGACGGUCUUCGGAUUGUAAACCUC
rnacentral:rRNA from 1 species